rnacentral:rRNA from 1 species
AACGAACGCUGGCGGCAGGCAUAACACAUGCACGUCGAACGCAUCGCAAGAUGAGUGGCAGACGGGUGAGUAACGCGUGGGAACAUACCCUUUUCUACGGAAUAGCGCUGGGAAACUGGAAUUAAUACCGUAUACGCCCUACGGGGGAAAGAUUUAUCGGGGAAGGAUUGGCCCGCGUUGGAUUAGCUAGUUGGUGGGGUAAAGGCCUACCAGGGCGACGAUCCAUAGCUGGUCUGAGAGGAUGAUCAGCCACAUUGGGACUGAGACACGGCCCAAACUCCUACGGGAGGCAGCAGUGGGGAAUAUUGGACAAUGGGCGCAAGCCUGAUCCAGCCAUGCCGCGUGAGUGAUGAAGGCCUUAGGGUUGUAAAGCUCUUUCACCGAUGAAGAUAAUGACGGUACCUGGAGAAAAAGCCCCGGCUAACUUCGUGCCAGCAGCCGCGGUAAUAC